CCUUAGCCUCACAAGUCACAACCCGUGUUUGGACGGAAUUGAUCAGGGUUCAACCCGUUCUUUGUUCGAGAGUUUCAGAUGCUGGAGUCAACGUGAGGAUUCUAUUUGACGGUUUAGAUCGCAAUGUAAUUCAAACUUACGGGAUGCCAUUUAACAACCAUCUUUACUUCUUUGACCAUGGCAUGGUAAAAUCAUUCAAAAAGCUUAUUAUCUCUCUUGAGGCUGUGGAUGACACCUAUUAAAAGGCCGGCAGGACAACAUAUUCGGCUUAAAGCUCCGACGAGGCAAUGAUAAAGAGCGAGUAGAAUAAGUCCAACGAGAAGGUGUUGAACGAUCCAAUGAAACCUUAUCACGAAACACUUCUUCUUAUGUCUCUGAAACCUGGAGUCGAACUGAAUCUGACCCCAUCUUCUUAACGGAGGUGGAGCAUUCAAAGUGCACAUCAUCUCAACACUUCUGGCGAUCUGACCAGGUGUACAAGCUAGUGACCAGUAUCCACGGGAUUUUUGAGCAAAUAUCUGAAAAGAUCCUCGCGACUGAUCGGUUAAGAAGGGAGAAGCAGUUGACUACGAGAAGAAGUUGGGUUCCAUCACAAGUCGGGGCAUGAGUCUGGAGAAAUUGCAAGCCGACCUCGAUGCUAUCAGGCAAGAGAACGAAAGUCUUGAGAAACAACUUAAUUAAUGUGGUUUCUAAUACAUCAUCACUGAAAGAAACAUACAGCCUAGAGUAUUUGGAGUUAUCAGAGAGCCUUCUGUUAUUGUGCUUUCGAACUGUUUGUUUCACAGAGAAGAGUAUCUUUUUUUUUCUUUCUGAAGACUAAAGAGAAACCAAGAGCUGAUUCAGCCAACUCAUUUCUGAUAUAUAUGUGUUUGAGUAUUUGAGAAAGAAGUAAAUGAAUGUGGUUAAUAAGUUACUGAACGAAA